ACCUGGGGUAGAGGUGCUGCAAUAAAUAGUAGGUAUGAGGAGUUGGCAAACGUUGAUUUAUACUAAAAGGUAUUACAGCCGAAGAAAAUAGAUUAUUAUGCGAUAAUCUUUUUCUGGGUAUUCAUAGAAUAUGUGAAUAACUGUCACGAAGAGUGUUGAGCUACAAGGUAC
rnacentral:ncRNA from 2 species